ACAAGGGAGGCAGAUCUGAGGUAGCGUCGUUGGGGUACACUGCUCUGCCACACCCACCGGCUCACAGACAGGCUCCAGCAGAAAACAGACACGCUUCAGGGUCAGACUGCUGUGAACUUGGUCAAUUAUCUCAUAAAGCUCACGCAAGUAGAGCUAAGGGCUCUUGAAGUUAUGAAACAAAAUAACUGGAGAUCUUUGUGAGACUGUGGAAGAAAAAAGUUCUACCAUCGUCCCGAAGGCGGUACAGCUCAUGCUUCUACAUGCUGAGACUCGACUGACUGGAGAGGCACCCUCUGGACAUUGCAAUGUCAGCAUCAAGCGCUGCAAGUGCAAGACUCUCAGCAAAUCUUCCCUUUGCACUUUGCAGACCACACGCGGCCCAGUACCGAGACGAUCACACAUCUUUGCCAAACAGCCAUGCUUCCACUUAGGAAAAAAGAAAAAAGAGAAAAAUACAGAUGCCUCACAGAGCAUGCACUCCUCACCCAGAGGAAUGAGAAAAGCCUGAGCCACGGCCUCAGUAAAACCGACUCAUGGGUAAAAUCAAAAUGCAGAAACCAAUUGUUGGCUUUUUGUCAUGUUUGUGCUGCAUGUUACAUCCACUUUAAGUGGGAUGACA